AUGGUGUGAAGGCACGAUUUCUAUAGGAGCUUGAACCAAAGUGAACACUUUCAAGCUUGUGCCUCUCAUAGACAAGGGAGAAGAACCAGCCAAAUGUUGAUGCACAUGCUGCCCCACUAGAUUUGGAGAUUAUCUUUCAAAGAUAUGAAAAAGAUCUUAUGCAUCCACUUCAAAACCUUCUUGGAGGAGAGCUUGCUCGAGCCUUACUCAUUCAGGUGCAAAAAUUAAAGCUCGACAUUGAAACGGCAAUGCUUGAGCUGAAUCAGAUUCUCAGAGCAAAUGAAAUAAAUUUUGCAAUACUUGCUGCUUUGCCAGCAUUUUUUAUUACAAUCAUACUUGCAGCUCUUCUGCAGAUUUGGUUGGUGAAGG